rnacentral:rRNA from 1 species
UACGUAGGGUGCAAGCGUUGUCCGGAAUUAUUGGGCGUAAAGAGCUCGUAGGCGGUUUGUCGCGUCUGCUGUGAAAACUCAGGGCUUAACCCUGAGCCUGCAGUGGGUACGGGCAGACUAGAGUGUGGUAGGGGAGAUCGGAAUUCCUGGUGUAGCGGUGAAAUGCGCAGAUAUCAGGAGGAACACCGGUGGCGAAGGCGGGUCUCUGGGCCGUAACUGACGCUGAGGAGCGAAAGCGUGGGGAGCGAACAGG